rnacentral:rRNA from 1 species
AUUGAACGCUGGCGGAAUGCUUUACACAUGCAAGUCGAGCGGCAGCACGGGGGCAACCCUGGUGGCGAGCGGCGAACGGGUGAGUAAUACAUCGGAACAUGCCCAGUCGUGGGGGAUAACACUUCGAAAGAAGUGCUAAUACCGCAUACGUCCUGAGGGAGAAAGCGGGGGAUCGCAAGACCUCGCGCGAUUGGAGUGGCCGAUGUCAGAUUAGCUAGUUGGUGGGGUAAAGGCCUACCAAGGCAACGAUCUGUAGCUGGUCUGAGAGGAUGAUCAGCCACACUGGGACUGAGACACGGCCCAGACUCCUACGGGAGGCAGCAGUGGGGAAUUUUGGACAAUGGGGGGCAACCCUGAUCCAGCCAUUCCGCGUGAGUGAAGAAGGCCUCGGUUGGUAAAGUCUCUUUCUAGUCAGGACGAAACGGACGAGUACUAAUACUAGCUCGCUAAU